UAGGCGCAAAUGCAGUGGUUCGUUGAUUUGUACAUGAAAUGCAAUAAUGUCUAAGAAGCCUGUAGUACACCAAAAGAUCGGUAGGGGUCAGUGUGUAGGCGAAAAUGCAGUGGUUCGUUGGUUUGUACAUGAAAUGCAAUAAUGUCUAAGAAGCCUGUAGUACACCAAAAGACCGGUAGGGGUCAGUGUGUAGGCGAAAAAUUGUAUUUCGUUUGUAGUUUUAACCAAACAGAUUUUAACCGAA